rnacentral:tRNA from 1 species
GCGGCGGUGGUGUAACGGCGUAGAGCAUUUCCGCCUGGUCAGCAGGAGGUGUGGGUUCGAGUCCCGCCUGGCGCU